GCGACGGUGAGAGGUCCUUCCUCUCGCUUGUAACGAGAACACGCAGGUUCGAAUCCUGUCCGCCUCU
rnacentral:tRNA from 1 species